GACGAACGCUGGCGGCGUGCUUAACACAUGCAAGUCGAACGGAAAGGCCCUGCUUUUGUGGGGUGCUCGAGUGGCGAACGGGUGAGUAACACGUGAGUAACCUGCCCUUGACUUUGGGAUAACUUCAGGAAACUGGGGCUAAUACCGGAUAGGAGCUCCUGCUGCAUGGUGGGGGUUGGAAAGUUUCGGCGGUUGGGGAUGGACUCGCGGCUUAUCAGCUUGUUGGUGGGGUAGUGGCUUACCAAGGCUUUGACGGGUAGCCGGCCUGAGAGGGUGACCGGCCACAUUGGGACUGAGAGACGGCCCAGACUCCUACGGGAGGCAGCAGUGGGGAAUAUUGCACAAUGGGCGGAAGCCUGAUGCAGCAACGCCGCGUACGGGAUGACGGCCUUCGGGUUGUAAACCGCUUUCGCCUGUGACGAAGCGUGAGUGACGGUAAUGGGUAAAGAAGCACCGGCUAACUACGUG
rnacentral:rRNA from 1 species